UACGGAGGGGGCGAGCGUUGUUCGGAAUUACUGGGCGUAAAGGGCGCGUAGGUAGCGAGAUCAGUCAGGCGUGAAAGCCCCGGGCUCAACCUGGGAUGUGCGUUUGAUACUGUCUUGCUAGAGACCGGAAGAGGAUGGCGGAAUACCCAGUGUAGAGGUGAAAUUUGUAGAUAUUGGGUGGAACACCAGUGGCGAAGGCGGCCAUCUGGUCCGGAUCUGACGCUGAGGCGCGAAAGCGUGGGGAGCAAACAGG
rnacentral:rRNA from 1 species